GUAGAUCGACGGCCUUCGCCCUUCAGGCCGUUUCUUUCCUCCUCCUCUUCUGAUCUUAGACAUUUGAACUAAAAAGAAAUCUCGAAUACGAGAGAUCACCCUUCUUCCCAAAUUUUGUUGGAUCUCCGUCUCCUCCUCCUAUCCUUUCCUCUAUUUGAAAAAAGUUCAAUCCUCUAGUUUUCUGCGAGCUAUUACGUUAGAUUCUUCCCUUUCUCUCUCCCAAUCAACGCCCACAUACUUGGAUUCGGGAUUCGAAUUGCACUGGGGCUUUGGCUAGAUACCCUCGCAUCAUGAUCAGUUCUUCCAACUGAUGCGUUUUUAGACGAUUUGGUCAGAAGGGUUUUGUUGUUCUUCGGGUAUAGAUUCGGAUUCUUGGCGUUCUAGAUGGAUCUUGGUUUGGUUUCCCCAUUGAGUGGAUCUUUGUGUGGUAUUCAAUGAUAUGCACAUCUCAAAUGCGUUGCUCCUCGCUGGGAUUUGAGGGGGGGACUUUGAUAUCUGAGAGACUUGGUUUCUUGGGUCCGGAGGGAGAUUCUUGUGGUUGAGGGAUUUGGGGGAGCCAUGUUUUGGAGGGAAAGGGAAAGGGAGAGGGACAGCAGAGAGCAGAACGGUGGUCCUCCUUGCGGACAGGUCCGGGUCCUCGUGGUCGGAGACGCUGGUGUCGGAAAGACAUCUCUAGUUCAUCUAAUUGUAAAAAGUUCUUCAAUUGCUCGGCCACCUCAAACAAUAGGGUGUACAGUGAGUGUUAAGCAUAUUACUUAUGGAAGUGCUAGCAGCUCUUCUAAUAGCAUAAAAGGCGAUGCAGAAAGGGACUUCUUUGUUGAGCUUUGGGAUGUCUCAGGACAUGAACGGUACAAAGAUUGCCGAUCUCUUUUCUACACACAAAUCAACGGUGUAAUAUUUGUUCAUGAUCUCUCCCAAAGGAGGACAAAGACAAGCUUGCAGCGGUGGGCAGCAGAAAUUGCAGCAACCGGAACGUUUUCAGCUCCAGUUGGAACUGGUGGGCCUGGAGGUCUUCCUGUUCCUUAUGUGGUUAUCAGUAAUAAAGCUGAUAUUGCUGCCAAGGAGGGCAUCAGGGGAAGCAGUGGAAACCUUGUUGAUGCUGCUCGCCAGUGGGUUGAAAAACAGGGCCUACUUCCAUCUAGCGAAGAACUUCCUUUAACGGAGAGCUUCCCAGGCAAUUCAGGCCUCAUCACAGCUGCCAAAGAAGCUAGAUAUGACAAAGAAGCUUUGAUUAAGUUUUUUCGCAUGUUAAUCAGGAGAAGAUAUUUUUCUGAUGAACUACCAGCAUCAAACCCAUGGGCUGUAGCUCCCAUACAGAAUUCCAUCCAACGUUUGGAUGAGAUCUCCACUGAUGAUGAUCAAUUUCAAAAGAAAUUAAGCUAUUACUUAAAGUAUGUGCCUCAAUAAUUAUGGGGUGCUUGUGGGGCAGCCUGAUCUCACAUGACGCCUAUACCACAUGCAGCUUAAGUGGUGAGAGUCACAAGUACAAUGCGCUUCCUCCUGUCCCUACUCAAAGAAACCUAACACCACCUCCCACACUCUAUCCGCAGCAGCCAAUGUCUACAUCUGAGAGUUACAGCUUCCAGAGAUUUUCAGCAUCUAGUUUGCCUGACAUGGUUGGCACCAGAUCAAGCCGAGCUGAUAUCAAUGUCUGACUAUAAAUUCAACCAACAAUUAUCUUCAGUAUAAAAAGAAGGCACGCUGCAUACUGCAUGAACUUAUAAAUACUAGGAAGCAAUUUCAGCAGCUGCUUAAGGUGUAGUGGGAUUGACUGUUGCAUUUGGUAAAACUGCUUGGGACGUGUUCUCUAGUUUGGAGUUGAGCUGCACGGUCUGUGUGAAUUUCACCAUGGCCCUAGCUAUGCUGCCUGUAUAUUUGAUCUUUAGAUCUAUCUUGUGGAGAUUGCCAGUGAUUCUUUUACAUAUAUUCUUGCAGUGUAAAAACUUGGCUGUUUGUACGAAGAAAAGAAAUAUACUUUUAAUUCAUAUUAAAGAAGAAAAAUAACUUGAUCCAUGUUCUAUCA